AAAAGGGAAAAAAAUUAGCAUUUUUCUAUAUAUAUAUGUGUGUAUAUAAUAUAUGAAAAUAUGUAUGUGCAUAUAUAUAUAUUUUUUUACAAAUACAAAUACUCUAGGAUGUUUUUUCAGUAAUAAAAUUACAAGACGUUAUAUGAGCAUUACAUUUCUUUCCAAAGCACUGAAUAGGUUAAGAAACACUAAAACCUCUUAUGUAAUUGUAUCCUAGCUACUAUAUUUAGCCAGCAGAGGGAAAAUGCACCAUUUUGAGGAAUUUUUAAAAAUUCCUGAGUCUAGAAACUAAGACAAAAAAUGUAAUAUUAUUUCACAUUAUUCAAAAAGCAAAAACUGAUUCCUCAAAUGAUAUAGGUACGAUAUAAGAUAUUAAAAUCUAAAACCAUAAUGCUACCUAUGAAUUUUUUGGGGAAAGGGGAUUUCUGGCUCUUCAACUGGGGGGGAAAUACUCAGUGUGAAAUAUUUUAUCUUAAACAACUGUUAACUGGUAGAAAAUCUGGAGAAAAAUAAGAAGUUGGUCAUGAAAUAAAUAAGUAACUACAUUUCCCAUUAGGUUUAUUAACCUUGGUUACUAUGCCCAUUAAGUGAAUUAGAAUCUAAAUUUACAUCCUACUUACUAGCAUACUUUUAACAAUGCAAUAUAUAUAUAUGUAAUAUUUAUAUAGAAAGCUGAACAGCAACACAUAGAGUAAUAAAUGGCAAAUUAAUUGGUCCCAAUCUUUCUACCCAUGUUUUAAUCUAUAAUUGAGGUUAAAAUAAAAUCUCUUUCAGCAGGUGACUAUUUGUGAUGAUUACAUUUGUUGCUUUGCAUUUAUUAUCAGCUUUUGUUUAGGAAAAACAAAUACAAAAUGCUAAUAAUGGAACCAUCACCUUCAAUUUGUACUCUCCCGGUAUGCGUUUUGUAUCAAUUUUUACAAGAAAAGCCCAGUUUCAAGCUAAAAGCUGUGUUUUUCACAAGAAUUUGGCCAAGAGAAGGAUGAAGGAGGAUGGUGGAUUUCAAUCUGGAAGAUGUAUCCCCCAGUCCAUUUUACAGUAGAGGAAACAAGAAACACCCCCCAGGGUGCAUGGGGAUGGUAGAAAACCAAUUAUAGAAACAACAAUUUCAGAAGAGGCGCCACAUGGGUGACUGGCACCCGCCAAAUCAGCGCUUGUUUCGUGCAUUCAGACCGUGCUGGCCUGUCACCUCUCUCUGGUCUCAGGCCUGUCACCUACCAAAACAAGAUAAUUAUGGGGUUUUCCUCUUUUUAGUCACUUUCCAAGCAGCUCAAACUCUGUUAAUAAGAACACUGGGGUUUUGGAUAAAGUCACAACUUGGAAAAACCCUGAGCUUCUGGAAUAAUGGGUGUCAGCCCCCUUCCGCCCCGCCGUCUUCCCAAUUUUCCUGCAAGAGUCCUUUAGUAGGAGAGGGAAGCCUCCCAACCUCCAGGAGUAGCUGGGCCCAAAUGUUACACCCGGAACAUGGCGCAGGUCUCAGAUGACAGGUGGGGAACUGGCUCUGGCUCUGCUCCAAUAUACAGGUGUAAAUAACCAAGAAGUUCUAGGCUGUUUGUAAAUUCGUUGGGGGGUGGAUGGGGCCUCCCUGAGACUCGGCCGUCUUAUCUGAGAGCCGGGACUCCCUCUCGGGUGGCUGUCUUCCAGGGCUGGAGUCGGCUGGGAGUGAGAUAACGGCAGCAAGAAGCCGUUGUAGCGAGUGCUCCAUCAGCCCGGCAUGGCCAGCUCUGUCGGGAGCUAACAGAGCAGAGGGGACCCCACGUCCUCUUUGCUCGGAAGCUCCGGUUUGCUGGAGGGGAGCCCGGGGAGGAGGGCAGGGAAAGGAAGCUUGGGCUAUCUGGAUGCCAGCCUCUCUGGCUUUCAGUCUCCCACUCUGUGAAAGGAGGGCACUACAAGAGAUGGCCUCGGAGCUCCCUCUUGCCUCCUGGGCCUGAUUUCAGAGCAGAUCAGCCCCCCUCCUCCCGGGUUCUCCUUCAGCUCCAGCGUGGGGGGGUUCUAGCACAUCUUUGUUUCUAGCAACUUUUUUGCUUGGAAUUUCUCAUUAUGUGUUCUAAGUCCUCAGGAGAACAAUCUGCAAAAUCAUUUGAGUUCUGAAAAACACACAUGCUUGCUACCCCUACUCCCUGGGCAGUCGGAGAUCUCCCCCACGUCAGCCCCCUCUUCCCGUGGUUCACUUCACGGCCCACUCAUGUUCCUUCAUCCUGGCUGUCUCCUUAAAAAAGGGCAGCAGUGUUUUCUAACUUUUCUUUCUUAUAUUUAAUUUCGGGCCUAGCACGUCAUAGGAUGAAGCCACUGUAUGGGCUGGACCAGCAAGCCUCCUUCCCCCGGCCGUCCCGAGGUGCAGCCGAGAGUCGGGCCCAACGGACCAGGCUUUCCUCACGUUCCUUUGUGGGUCACGUGAGCCGUGGAGAACCUGGAUCAGUGUAAUGAGCUGCCUUAGAGCAGUGACCCAUUUAAUACACUGCCAUAAAACUAAAUAAAAUUUAAUUGUCAGAUGUGAUGUCCAAUGGCAGCCCACAGCAUUUCCGAAGAUUAAUGACCCCCCAGUGGGUACCGAGGCCCGUCUCCACUCCCAAUGCAAACCGAGGCUUCCCACGGACAUUUACGAUCAGAAAGGAAAGAUUCCAUCGACACGCUUACGUCAUUACACGUGAAUUCUGUGGUAAAGCAUUUCCCUCUCUUAGCUGAAGAACAGGACCAGAAGAAAGGGCAAUUGUUGAGGGGUUAAAAGCCUUCCCCUUAACAAGCAGACCCGGGUUCUAGUCUCAUCUGUGUCACUGAGCAUGGCCUUUGUCCUUUAGGCAGAGAACACAGGAUUCCAUGUAUAAUCGGUAUCCUGUUGCUUGCCUUCCCGAUGGGUAGAGAGGGGGAGGGAAACAAUUUGGAAGUCGAAAUUGAAAAAAAAUCAAUGGCAAAUUUUUAUAAGUAAUUGGGAAAUACUUAAUGAAACUAUCGCCAUACGUGCAGAAAAGAUGCCUGUCUGCACUGAGAGGGAGCUGGCGAAUGGGAGCGGGAGGCAGGGAUGACCCUAUUUCUGUGAUGCAGCCCAGGCUUUGGAUUUCUGAAGGCCAUUAGAUAGUCCCAAGGAUGUUCCCUUAGUGACCCGUGGCCCUGGAGCCCACAGCUCCUCCUGGCGUGGCAGGGCCACCGGAGCCAUCCCUGGGCCCAAAGUCCUCCCAGAUCUCAGCCUUUUCAAAUGCCUUGGGGGGAAAUCUUUCCAAUGACACAAAGGCAUAACUAUCAUUAAAUUAAUAAAUUCACUAACGUAUAUUGCUUUUGUGAAUGAUAAAUGCAAAAUGAGAAUAAAAGCCCAAAUCAGUGGCCCGGACUGUCUCUCAAACCCCAUCUCGCCCCCAUCCCCAUUCUGUCGGCCAAGCUCAAAACCUUGGAAUCAACCUGGACUGCUCUCACUCCCAACCCUUAAACAGCUGGGAUCUCAGGGGCUGCUGGUUGGUGCAGUGGAUAAGAACACCAGCCCCAAAGUCAGGAGGACCCAAGUUCAAAUCUGGCCUCAGACACUUAAUGCUUCCUAGCUGUGUGACCCUGGGCAAGUCACUUAACCCCAAUUGCCUCAGCAAAAACAAAACCCCAAACCAGUUGGGAUCUCCCUCAGUUUCAGCCCCAGUGGCCUAAGGGGAACUCUCACAAGAGCUCUAAAUGCAGUAGUGGCUCCAACCAUUCCACCGCACAGGAACUCCCCAUGGAGGCAAUUCUAAGGGCGGUAAAGUCCAGCUCACGAGCCCGCCAUCUCUUCCACUGCCAACCUGCGGGGCCCUGGCGGGCUACAGCACUCCAGGACUUUAUCAUUUCUUGCCCGGCUUACCACAGCCACCCCCUAAGGAGGCUCCCAGCCUCAGGUCUCUCCAAUCUACUCCUCACACCAAAGUCUCCAAGGGACUCCCUCCCUGUCCCCAUAAGUCAGCCCUUCCUUUGCACUUCCAGAAAUGCAGGGCUAUACAAGGUGAAGAGAGAUAAGGCUCUGAACUGGCCAGGGGAGGGUCCCUGUGAGGCAUUCCGGCCUUAGAAAGCACAAAGUCACCUUUCUUCAGGAAAUUUUUUUGGGGGGAGGUGUUGAUGGGGGCUGUUAGAUAAUCUGGCUCAAGCUGAAGCAGCUGCAGGUUUAGCACUUCUGAUCUGGGCCCCUAGCAGCCCACCCCGGGAUUUUCUCGCAUUCAGUCACUAGGCCUCUCACCAAGGUCCUCCUCCCCAGCAGGGAGCCAAGGCUUUUUCCUUCAAGCUCCAGGGCCUCCCUGAACUUUCCAGGGCUGGGUCCAAAAGCAAGCCCGACUCCAGAGAAUUUCGGACAGCCUUGCUCUCCAAGUCCUUCCCGUUCACUCAGUGUCCAGCCCUUCGAGGAGGGCCCAUUUUUUGGUUCCGGAGCCCCUGCAGGUGGCCAGGCCCCAGUCCAGACCCACGUCGAACUCCCGCAGGCUGGAAAGCCCAAGCCCACAGCUCCAGCACCCCGAUACUGUUGCCUCUUCUUUGUUACAAUUACUGAAUUACCCAAUUUACUUCUAUGGAGGAACUCAAGUGAAGGAGAUUUUAAAUGAUCUCAUUUGCACUGACUUUACAACUAAAAGAAAAUAGAUUUGUGAUAGGAAAUAUUGCUCCCCGAUAAAGUAAGGCACCAUUACUUUCUAGGGGAAGCUGAAAUAUUCAUCUUAACUUUUUUUUUGGCAUCACAGAGCUCUUUGGCAAUGGAAGUCUCCCUCAUUCUCAGAAUAUUUUAAAAUAACUAAAUCCAACUUUAUAAACAAAAUAAGAUUAUAAUGGAAAUCACUUAUCUAUAAAGUUAUCCGAAUGUUAA